rnacentral:rRNA from 1 species
GAUGAACGCUGGCGGCGUGCCUAAUACAUGCAAGUCGAGCGAACAGACGAGGAGCUUGCUCCUCUGACGUUAGCGGCGGACGGGUGAGUAACACGUGGAUAACCUACCUAUAAGACUGGGAUAACUUCGGGAAACCGGAGCUAAUACCGGAUAACAUGUUGAACCGCAUGGUUCAACAGUGAAAGACGGUCUUGCUGUCACUUAUAGAUGGAUCCGCGCCGCAUUAGCUAGUUGGUAAGGUAACGGCCUACCAAGGCGACGAUGCGUAGCCGACCUGAGAGGAUGAUGAGCCACACUGGAACUGAGACACGGUCCAGACUCCUACGGGAGGCAGCAGUGGGGAAGAUUGGACAAUGGGCGAAAGCCGGAUCCAGCCAUACCGCGUGGUUGAAGAAGGCAUUAGGGUUGUAAAGCCCUUUUGUUGGGAAAGAAAAGCAGCAGGUUAAUCACCCGCUGUUCUGACGGUACCCAAAGAAUAAGCACCGGCUAACUUCGUG